AUUGAACGCUGGCGGCAUGCCUUACACAUGCAAGUCGAACGGCAGCACGGGUGCUUGCACCUGGUGGCGAGUGGCGAACGGGUGAGUAAUACAUCGGAACAUGUCCUGUAGUGGGGGAUAGCCCGGCGAAAGCCGGAUUAAUACCGCAUACGAUCUACGGAUGAAAGCGGGGGACCUUCGGGCCUCGCGCUAUAGGGUUGGCCGAUGGCUGAUUAGCUAGUUGGUGGGGUAAAGGCCUACCAAGGCGACGAUCGGUAGCUGGUCUGAGUGGACGACCAGCCACACAGGGACUGAGACACGGCCCAGACUCCUACGGGAGGCAGCAGUGGGGAAUUUUGGACAAUGGGCGGAAGCCUGAUCAAGCAAUGCCGCGUGUGUGAAGAAGGGCUUCGGGUUGUAAAGCACUUUUGUCCGGAAAGAAAUCCUUGGCCCUAAUACGGGCGGGGGAUGACGGUACCGGAAGAAUAAGCACCGGCUAACUACGUG
rnacentral:rRNA from 1 species